CGUCUCCUAUGGGGGGCAGCAGUGAGGAAUAUUGGUCAAUGGGCGAGAGCCUGAACCAGCCAAGUCGCGUGAAGGAUGACGGCCCUACGGGUUGUAAACUUCUUUUGUCAGGGAGCAAUUGGGUCCACGCGUGGGCUUAGCGAGAGUACCUGAAGAAAAAGCAUCGGCUAACUCCGUGCCAGCAGCCGCGGUAAUACGGAGGAUGCGCGCGUUAUCCGGAUUUAUUGGGUUUAAAGGGUGCGUAGGCGGAAUAUC
rnacentral:rRNA from 1 species